CUUUGACAGAACCUAAUAUCGGUAUACGGGUUGAUGAUAAUGGAACGCGGGCAGAGAGUUUGGAGAUGAAUGGUACUCAGGAGGCAUGCCUCUGGUAGAACUGUACCCACUUAAUAGGCUACCAAGACGGUAUUCAGGUCGUAAGCCUGGUGGAGGAUUAUACGUGGGAUGUGGCGAAUACAGAUGAUCUUGGGAGUAUACGGGUUGAUGAUAAUGGAACGCGGGCAGAGAGUUUGGAGACGAAUGGUACUCAGGAGGCAUGCCUCUGGUAGAACUGUACUCACUUAAUAGGCUACCAAGACGGUAUUCAGGUCGUAAGCCUGGAGGAGGAUUAUACGUGGGAUGUGGCGAAUACAGAUGAUCUUGGGAGUAUACGGGUUGAUGAUAAUGGAACGCGGGCAGAGAGUUUGGAGAUGAAUGGUACUCAGGAGGCAUGCCUCUGGUAGAACUAUACUCAGUUAAUAGGCUACCGAGACGGUAUUCAGGUCGUAAGCCUGGUGGAGGAUUAUACAUGGGAUGUGGCGAGUACACAGGAUCUUGGGAGUAUAUGGGUUGAUGAUAAUGGAACGCGGGCAGAGAGUUUGGAGAUGAAUGGUACUCAGGAGGCAUGCCUCUGGUAGAACUAUACUCAUUUAAUAGGCUACCGAGACGGUAUUCAGGUCGUAAGCCUGGAGGAGGAUUAUACGUGGGAUGUGGCGAGUACACAGGAUCUUGGGAGUAUACGGGUUGAUGAAAAUGGGACGCGGGCAGAGAGUUUGGUGAUGAAUGGUACGCAGGAGGGAUGCCUCUGGUAGAACUAUACUCAUUUAAUAGGCUACCGAGACGGUAUUCAGGUCGUAAGCCUGGUGGAGGAUUAUACGUGGGAUGUGGCGAGUACACAGGAUCUUGGGAGUAUACGGGUUGAUGAAAAUGGGACGCGGGCAGAGAGUUUGGUGAUGAAUGGUACGCAGGAGGGAUGCCUCUGGUAGAACUAUACUCAUUUAAUAGGCUACCGAGACGGUAUUCAGGUCGUAAGCCUGGUGGAGGAUUAUACGUGGGAUGUGGCGAGUACACAGGAUCUUGGGAGGACAAAUUCUCAGAGUAUAAAGCAUAGGGAUGAUGGUUUACAACAUCCUGGAGUCCUGCUUCCACAUUUACUAGCUGAUAUUCGCGAUGCU
rnacentral:lncRNA from 1 species